rnacentral:rRNA from 1 species
AUUGAACGCUGGCGGCAUGCCUAACACAUGCAAGUCGAACGAGUGGCGGACGGGUGAGUAAUGUCUGGGAAACUGCCUGAUGGAGGGGGAUAACUACUGGAAACGGUAGCUAAUACCGCAUACCAUCAGAUGUGGCCAGAUGGGAUUAGCUUGUUGGUGGGGUAACGGCUCACCAAGGCGACGAUCCCUAGCUGGUCGGAGAUGAUGACCAGCCACACUGGAACGGAGACACGGGCCAGACUCCUACUGGAGGCAGCAGUGGGGAAUAUUGGACAAUGGGCGAAAGCCUGAUCCAGCCAUGCCGCGUGUGUGAAGAAGGUCUUCGGAUUGUAAAGCACUUUAAGUUGGGAGGCGUUACCAACAGAAUAAGCACCGGCUAACUUCGUGCCAGCAGCCGCGGUAAUUC